GAUGAACGCUGGCGGCGUGCUUAACACAUGCAAGUCGAACGGUGAAGGCGGAGCUUGCUCUGCUGGAUCAGUGGCGAACGGGUGAGUAACACGUGAGCAAUCUGCCCCUGACUCUGGGAUAAGCGCUGGAAACGGCGUCUAAUACUGGAUACGAGCUGCGAAGGCAUCUUCAGCAGCUGGAAAGAAUUUCGGUCAGGGAUGAGCUCGCGGCCUAUCAGCUUGUUGGUGAGGUAAUGGCUCACCAAGGCGUCGACGGGUAGCCGGCCUGAGAGGGUGACCGGCCACACUGGGACUGAGACACGGCCCAGGCUCCUACGGGAGGCAGCAGUGGGGAAUAUUGCACAAUGGGCGAAAGCCUGAUGCAGCAACGCCGCGUGAGGGACGACGGCCUUCGGGUUGUAAACCUCUUUUAGCAGGGAAGAAGCGAAAGUGACGGUACCUGCAGAAAAAGCGCCGGCUAACUACGUG
rnacentral:rRNA from 1 species